AAGGCCUUGCGCGAUUGGAGCGGCCGAUGUCGGAUUAGCUUGUUGGCGGGGUAAAAGCCCACCAAGGCGACGAUCCGUAGCUGGUUUGAGAGAACGACCAGCCACACUGGGACUGAGACACGGCCCAGACUCCUACGGGAGGCAGCAGUGGGGAAUUUUGGACAAUGGGGGCAACCCUGAUCCAGCCAUGCCGCGUGUGUGAAGAAGGCCUUCGGAUUGUAAAGCACUUUCGGACGGAACGAAAUCGCACGGGCGAAUACCCCGUGUGGAUGACGGUACUGUAAGAAGAAGCACCGGCUAACUACGUGCCAGCAGCCGCGGUAAUACGUAGGGUGCGAGCGUUAAUCGGAAUUACUGGGCGUAAAGCGUGCGCAGGCGGCUUCGCAAGUCAGACGUGAAAUCCCCGGGCUUAACCUGGGAAUG
rnacentral:rRNA from 1 species